rnacentral:rRNA from 1 species
GAUGAACGCUAGCUACAGGCUUAACACAUGCAAGUCGAGGGGUAACGAGAGGAAAGCUUGCUUUCCUUGUCGACGACCGGCGCACGGGUGAGUAACGCGUAUCCAACCUGCCCCCAACUAGGGAAUAACCUUGCGAAAGUAAGACUAAUACCCUAUAAUUUCCUCAGAUGACAUCUGACGAGGAAUAAAGAUUUAUCGGUUGUGGAUGGGGAUGCGUCUGAUUAGCUUGUUGGCGGGGUAACGGCCCACCAAGGCAACGAUCAGUAGGGGUUCUGAGAGGAAUGUCCCCCACAUUGGAACUGAGACACGGGCCAAACUCCUACGGGAGGCAGCAGUGAGGAAUAUUGGUCAAUGGGCGGAAGCUUGAACCAGCCAAGUAGCGUGCAGGAUGACGGCCCUAUGGGUUGUAAACUGCUUUUAUACAGGAAUAAAGUUAGCCACGUGUGGUUAAUUGUAGGUACUGUAUGAAUAAGGACCGGCUAAUUCCGUGCCAGCCGCCGCAGUAA